GCAGCAUAUAUAAAAAUGGACAAGAAAACGAACGAGAUCGAACGAGAUACAUAAUGCUUAAAUAAUUGACAACUUAUAAUUAUAUAUGCGUGUGCACGGCACACUUCUGCACAAUCUACACGAACAGAAGGCCCAGCCACUCCCGCCGCGUAGAUCCACAUACAUAGGCCGAGCUCUGUCUGACGGAGGUGAUGAUGGAGUUCCCAGAUUGUUCCACUCUACUCCUCAUACUGUACGCGGCGUGGAACGCAGCACAGUCAGACAGCUCAUCCCGUGCCCGGUGAAGGCCAGGGAUGAGCUAGUCCAUCUAGGACGCCCCAGAAGCCGCUUGAGGAUGUCGUUAUGACAGACUAAGACGGUUCAUGGAGGCAGCCCUUUACCGCGACCACAGCGAGUUGCAGUAGAGAGAGUAGCAGUGGCUCGUGAAUAACUCCAACUUCACCUCCGUGCUGCUGAAGUGAUGAUAAACAUAUAGUGAACGUGUGAAACAAUAGGCUUUUGAAAUGAUGCACGAGGAAAUGUGUCGUUUUGAGCCUUGAAAAAGUGCACACACAUAUAUGUUUCUCGUUCGAUCCUCCGACUGUUUGCCAAAAGAAAAGUUUGUUGUGUAGUCUACUACAAUGGAACUUUAUAUUAAAAAAAAGAGAAGAAAAGAGAAAAAGGAGAGAGAGAGAGAUUAUUAACCUUGAGAUAAUUCCCUUCUCUUUCGGAAACGCCUCGUGACCACAAGAACAACAACAAGAACAGCGACACAAAUCAUCACCGACGCAGCUAUGAUGGUGAUGGCGGUGAUGGUGGUGGUGUGUUUUGUAGGUGUGGUGAUGGUGAUGGCGGUGAUGGUGGUGGUGUGUUUUGUAGGUGUGGUGAUGGGGAUGGCGGUGAUGGUGAUGGUGUGUUUUGUAGGUGUGGUGAUGGGGAUGGCGGUGAUGGUGAUGGUGUGUUUUGUAGGUGUGGUGAUGGUGAUGGCGGUGAUGGUGGUGGUGUGUUUUGUAGGUGUGGUGAUGGGGAUGGCGGUGAUGGUGGUGGUGUGUUUUGUAGGUGUGGUGAUGGGGAUGGCGGUGAUGGUGGUGGUGUGUUUUGUAGGUGUGGUGAUGGGGAUGGCGGUGAUGGUGGUGGUGUGUUUUGUAGGUGUGGUGAUGGGGAUGGAGGUGCAGUUUGUCAAAGAGAUUGAUUGAUUGAUUGAUAGUUUAUUGUUGCAAGUAAACAACUAAGGAGAAGGGAGGAGCAUGCCAUCCCAACCCCCAGGCAGUACAGAGUGUGAU